rnacentral:rRNA from 1 species
AUUGAACGCUGGCGGCAGGCCUAACACAUGCAAGUCGAGCGGAGCGGCGGACGGGUGAGUAAUGCCUAGGAAUCGGCCUGUUCGUGGGGGAUAACGUUCGGAACCGGGCGCUAAUACUGCAUACUAUCACAUGAGCCUAGGCCGGAUUAGCUAGUUGGUGUGGUAAAGGCCUACCAAGGCCACGAUCCGUAACUGGUCUGAGAGGAUGAUCAGUCACACUGGAACUGAGACACGGUCCAGACUCCUACGGGAGGCAGCAGUGGGGAAUAUUGGACAAUGGGCGAAAGCCUGAUCCAGCCAUGCCGCGUGUGUGAAGAAGGUCUUCGGAUUGUAAAGCACUUUAAGUUGGGAGGCGUUACCAACAGAAUAAGCACCGGCUAACUUCGUGCCAGCAGCCGCGGUAAUAC